rnacentral:lncRNA from 1 species
CUUCGCGACCCGAGGAGGCUUGGAAGAGGGUCGGCCGCGCGAGUUUGGCGAGGGAGAAACUCGGCGAGAUUUAAAUCGGCUUCAAAGGCGGCUAGGGCUUUUCCAACAUUGCUAGACGGGGAAAAGGGGUGUGGGGAUGAUCUUGGGGUUUAAAAGGGCUCGGUUUGGCGAAUUUUGGUAGGGAAUCCCGGGCAAAUCAGGAUUUGACACCCGGUCGAGAAUCCUGCUCGGCUCCGACUUGGGGUUGAAGAAGGCCGGCUGUCGGGUGGGGUCACCUUGUCAGCGAGGACCAGGGGAAAGGGGAGGCGCGGGGCAGGCCAGGAACUGGGCCAGUUGCGCGUACUGGGCUGAAGAGGGGAGCGGGCCGUGGGGGAAAAGAAGGGGGAGAAGAGGGUUUGGGCCUUCGGGCCAGAAUGAGGGGGGAAAGAUUUUGUUUGUUUUUUUUCUAUUUUCCUUUCUUUUCCAAAGCUUUUCCAAAAGGGAUUUUAAAUCAUUCUUAGAGAUAGAACAAAACACACAGUACAAAAUUAAAUAUGCUUCGGCAUGAAUGCAUAAUCAUGUUUCUAAGCUUAUGAUGAAUUUUAUUUUUCGCAAAAAUUAUUUUAGUGCUAAAUUUAAAUGCUCACAAAAACACUUAAAUAAAUCAAAUUAAAUCCUAUUAAUUGGAAAUCAAAUUUUGGGUGUUACACCCAACCAAAUAUGGGGUCUGAAGUAGGGGCCCUACUGGAGUAAUGUUUUUAGCCUGGGCGCUAUUGGGGCUUGAGCAGGGGCCCUGCUGGAGUUGCUCUUAGGCUACCUAAAUUUAUUGGCCCAACAAAUUUCUCCUCCCACUACCUAGAUCUGUUGGACCAACAAAAAUGCCUACUUUUUUCCCUUCGUCUUUCUUCUCUCCAGGAAUCAUCCGACACCACCUGCCGACCAACGCCUGUGCCUCGCCCUCUCUGGUAGCGGCGCUCCCCAUCACGCGGCCCUCCGACGCCGAUCUCUAGGCGGUGCCCCUCGACCACCCCUCGCCCAUCCCACGCAUGG